rnacentral:rRNA from 1 species
UUGGAGGGCAAGUCUGGUGCCAGCAGCCGCGGUAAUUCCAGCUCCAAUAGCGUAUAUUAAAGUUGUUGCAGUUAAAAAGCUCGUAGUUGAAUUUCGGGGUUCUACCGUUGGUCGGGCAAUAGUCUGUACUGGCGUGUAGAAUUUCUACCUUCUGGGGAACUAUCAUGUUAUUUAUUUAGCGUGGUAGGAAACCAGGACCUUUACCUUGAAAAAAUUAGAGUGUUCAAAGCAGGCUUACGUCUGAAUACAUUAGCAUGGAAUAAUAAAAUAGGACGUUUGAUUCUA